rnacentral:tRNA from 1 species
CCUGGUGGCUCAGAUGGUAAAGCAUCUGCCUACAAUGCAGGAAGCCUGGGUUCAAUCCCUUGGUCAGGA